rnacentral:rRNA from 1 species
CGGACGGGUGAGUAAUGUAUGGGGAUCUGCCUGAGUGCGGGGGAUAACUACUGGAAACGGUAGCUAAUACCGCAUAAUGUCUACGGACCGAAAGCGGGGGGACCCUCCGGGCCUCGCGCCAUCAGAUGAACCCAUAUGGGAUUAGCUAGUAGGUAAGGUAACGGCUUACCUAGGCGACGAUCCCUAGCUGGUCUGAGAGGAUGAUCAGCCACACUGGGACUGAGACACGGCCCAG